AGCGAACGCUGGCGGCAGGCCUAACACAUGCAAGUCGAACGGAUCCUUCGGGAUUAGUGGCGGACGGGUGAGUAACACGUGGGAACGUGCCCUUUGGUUCGGAACAACUCAGGGAAACUUGAGCUAAUACCGGAUGUGCCCUUCGGGGGAAAGAUUUAUCGCCAUUGGAGCGGCCCGCGUCGGAUUAGCUAGUUGGUGAGGUAAAGGCUCACCAAGGCGACGAUCAGUAGCUGGUCUGAGAGGAUGAUCAGCCACAUUGGGACUGAGACACGGCCCAAACUCCUACGGGAGGCAGCAGUGGGGAAUCAUGCGCAAUGGGCGAAAGCCAGACGCAGCCAUGCCGCGUGAAUGAUGAAGGUCUUAGGAUUGUAAAAUUCUUUCACCGGGGACGAUAAUGACGGUACCCGGAGAAGAAGCCCCGGCUAACUUCGUGCCAGCCGCCGCAGUAA
rnacentral:rRNA from 1 species